UUUAAGUACAGCUAUGGGUUUUUAUGUCAAAUAUUUGACCGUCCAUUUAGAACUUUUUUUUAUUAGAUGAUAAAAUGUGAAUAUUAUUUUAUGUGUGACUUGUUUUUUUAAUUCUUUCAUAAAUUUUUUAAAUAAAACGAACGGAUAAAUAUUGGACAUAGAAAUUCACAACUGUAUUUAAU
rfam:Oryza glaberrima chromosome 5 Oglab05_0140_7, whole genome shotgun sequence.